AUUGAACGCUGGCGGCAUGCCUUACACAUGCAAGUCGAACGGCAGCACGGGUGCUUGCCCCUGGUGGCGAGUGGCGAACGGGUGAGUAAUACAUCGGAACAUGUCCUGUAGUGGGGGAUAGCCCGGCGAAAGCCGGAUUAAUACCGCAUACGAUCCACGGAUGAAAGCGGGGGACCUUCGGGCCUCGCGCUAUAGGGUUGGCCGAUGGCUGAUUAGCUAGUUGGUGGGGUAAAGGCCUACCAAGGCGACGAUCAGUAGCUGGUCUGAGAGGACGACCAGCCACACUGGGACUGAGACACGGCCCAGACUCCUACGGGAGGCAGCAGUGGGGAAUUUUGGACAAUGGGCGAAAGCCUGAUCCAGCAAUGCCGCGUGUGUGAAGAAGGCCUUCGGGUUGUAAAGCGCUUUUGUCCGGAAAGAAAUCCUUGACUCUAAUACAGUCGGGGGAUGACGGUACCGGAAGAAUAAGCACCGGCUAACUACGUG
rnacentral:rRNA from 1 species